AAAGGUAAAAUUAAUUGUUAUUAUUGUAAAUAAAAGUAUUAUAAUUGAAGCUAGAAAAGUUUAAUUAAAAACUAGGAUUAGAUACCCUAUUAUUUUAAACUAAUUGUUAAAUAACUAGAUUAGUAGUAGUUAAAUACUUAAAAAUUAAAAAAUUUGGCGGUAAUCUAAUCUUUCCAGAGGAAUUUGUUUUAUUAAAUCGAUAAACCUCGUAAUAUCUUACUUAAGUUUGUAUACCAUCAUUAUUAAAUAAUUUUUAAAGAAAUAAUUAUUAGAUUUAAUUAGUUAAAAAAAUUAGAUCAUGGUGCAGCUAAUAAAUAAGUUAAAAUGAAUUACAAUAAAUUAUUUUAAAUGGAUUAAUGAUUAUAAAGGAGGAUUUGGUUGUAUUAUGAGUAUAAUAAGCUUAUAAGAUAUAGGCUCUAGAUUAUGUACAUAUUGCCCGUCGCUUUC
rnacentral:rRNA from 1 species